rnacentral:rRNA from 1 species
GAAUCUUUGAACGCACCUUGCGCUCCCUGGUAUUCCGGGGAGCAUGCCUGUUUGAGUGUCAUGGUAUUCUCAUCCUUCAUAACUUUUGUUAUCGAAGGCAUGGACUUGGAGGUCGUGCUGGUUCCUCGUUGAAUCGGCUCCUCUUAAAUGUAUUAGCGUGAGUGUAACGGAUCGCUUCGGUGUGAUAAUUAUCUGCGCCGUGGUCGUGAAGUAACAUAAGCUUGCGCUUCUAACCGUCCUUAAGUUGGACAACUUACUUUGACAUCUGACCUCAAAUCAGGUAGGACUACCCGCUGAACUUAAGCAUAUCAAUAAGCGGAGGAAAAGAAACUAACAAGGAUUCCCCUAGUAACUGCGAGUGAACCGGGAAAAGCUCAAAUUUAAAAUCUGGCAGCCUUGGCUGUCCGAGUUGUAAUCUGGAGAAGCGUCUUCCGCGCUGGACCGUGUACAAGUCUCCUGGAACGGAGCGUCAUAGAGGGUGAGAAUCCCGUCUUUGACACGGACUACCAGUGCUCUGUGA